rnacentral:rRNA from 1 species
GACGAACGCUGGCGGCGUGCUUAACACAUGCAAGUCGAGCGGAGCGGCGAACGGGUGAGUAACGCGUGAGUAACUGCCCCCCUCUCUGGGAUAACAGUUGGAAACGGCUGCUAAUACCGGAUAGUGGGGGAUGACUCGCGUCCUAUCGGCUUGUUGUUGGGGUAGUGGCCUACCAAGGCGAGGACGGUUAGCCGGCCUGUGAGGGUGACCGGCCACAAUGGGCUGAGAUACGGACCAAUCUCCUAUGUGAGGCAGCGGUGGUGAAUAUUGCACACUGGGGGAAACCCUGAUGCAGCAGCGCCGCGUUCGGGAUGACGGCCUUCGGGUUGUGAACCGCUUUCAGCCAUGACGCGGUAGUGGCAGAAGAAGCACCGGCUAACUACGUGCCAGCAGCCGCGGUAAUUC